rnacentral:rRNA from 1 species
UGGCGGCAGGCCUAACACAUGCAAGUCGAGCGGUAACAUUUCUAGCUUGCUAGAAGAUGACGAGCGGCGGACGGGUGAGUAACGCGUGGGAAUCUGCCUGGUAGUGGGGGACAACAGUCGGAAACGACUGCUAAUACCGCAUACGCCCUUCGGGGGAAAGUGGGGGAUCUUCGGACCUCACGCUAUCAGAUGAGCCCGCGUCGGAUUAGCUUGUUGGUGAGGUAAAGGCUCACCAAGGCGAUGAUCCGUAGCUGGUCUGAGAGGAUGAUCAGCCACACUGGGACUGAGACACGGCCCAGACUCCUACGGGAGGCAGCAGUGGGGAAUAUUGGACAAUGGGGGCAACCCUGAUCCAGCCAUGCCGCGUGUGUGAAGAAGGCCUUCGGGUUGUAAAGCACUUUCAGCAGUGAGGAAAGGUGAGUCGUUAAUACCGGCUUACUGUGACGUUAACUGCAGAAGAAGCACCGGCUAACUCCGUGCCAGCAGCCGCGG